GUUUCUUGAAGCUUCUCUGCCUCAUGAGCUUUAUUAGAAACCUUUCACAGACAUGCUUGCACAUUGAUGAGCCAUGAGUUGGCUUUGGAAGGACAGUCCCUGCUGCUGUAAAUGGCACCAGGAGAAGAUGGCUGAAAGGAGACUUAGUAUGCUUCUUGAUGAAUAAGGAAAAGAUACCACCAGGUGGGAAGUUACUGCUGUUGUCCCAGGCAGGAGGUUCUGACUGCGCUGAGGUGGGCAGUGUGGAGGUCAGCAGAGGAUGCUCUCAGGGAAGUGACUUUGGCAGAAGGAUGGUCCCUGUAGAAGAGGGUCAUCUCUUGUCUAUCCUGUGUCACACAUCAGGAUAGACAUGCCCCCAGUAAGUGGAAGGAAGGCAGGAGGCAAGAAGAAAGGAAAGGACGGCUGUUGAGGAAAUCUUCCUUCUGAUAAACCUGGUACCCUGUUUCUAUUGGUCAAAGUUCAUUUCUGAUGCUUGCCCUUGCCCUUGCCUGCCUCCUUUCCAGCUGUGUGUCCACUGCACACCACCCUUACCAGUGCUCUAAGCUUGCCAAGAUGGCCCCACCUUUGACCCUCUUACCUUACCCCUACUGCAAGCAUUAGGGUGCUUGCAGUGCUAACUGGACCCCUGCCCUCCUCAGAUCCUCAAAGUUUGUGCCCUAUGCCCUUCACCCUCCUACACCAUCAGUUCCCCUUCCAUUUUGGAUCAUUCUCAUCAGCCUUGAGCAUCACUCAUAUUGAAAAUAAUCCCUUGAGUCCUACAUCCCCCAUGGCCAAUUUUUCUGUUUUCUAAGGAAAAUUCCUUUGACCACUUGUCUGUUCUUCUCAUGUCCACUUCCUU
rnacentral:lncRNA from 1 species